CCUACGGGGGGCUGCAGUGAGGAAUAUUGGUCAAUGGACGCGAGUCUGAACCAGCCAAGCCGCGUGCAUGAUGACGGCUCUAUGGGUUGUAAACUUCUUUUAUACAGGAAUAAAACCAGGUACGUGUGUCUUUCUGCACGUACCUUACGAAUAAGGAUCGGCUAACUCCGUGCCAGCAGCCGCGGUAAUACGGAGGAUUCGAGCGUUAUCCGGAUUUAUUGGGUUUAAAGGGUGCGUAGACGGGUGGUUAAGUCAGUUGUGAAAGUUUGCGGCUCAACCGUGGAAUUGCAAUUGAUACUGGCAGGCUAGAGAGCAGUUGAGGUAGGCGGAAUGCAUGGUGUAGCGGUGAAAUGCUUAGAGAUCACGAAGAACCCCGAUUGCGAAGGCAGCUUACUAAGCUACUACUGACGUUGAUGCACGAAAGUGUGGGUAGCAAACAGGAUUAGAUACCCUUGUAGUC
rnacentral:rRNA from 1 species